CUAAGUUAAAAGGAGCAAAUGCUUCACUAUGAGAUGGACCUGCGUUGUAUUAGCUAGUUGGUGAGGUAACGGCUCACCAAGGCGACGAUACAUAGCCGACCUGAGAGGGUGAUCGGCCACACUGGGACUGAGACACGGCCCAGACUCCUACGGGAGGCAGCAGUAGGGAAUCUUCGGCAAUGGACGGAAGUCUGACCGAGCAACGCCGCGUGAGUGAAGAAGGUUUUCGGAUCGUAAAGCUCUGUUGUUAGAGAAGAACGGUAAUGGGAGUGGAAAAUCC
rnacentral:rRNA from 1 species